CACCAACGACUCAGCUGUUCACACCGGGGUGUGAGUGCCUGUAAGGGUGAAUGUGCCUGUUCUCAGCAGUCCUUUAAGGAAAGUCUGCUCUACAAAGAGAGAUUCAAACUGAUGGAGAGGCGACUCUGAAAGCAAAGGAUUUGAACCAUCUAUUCUCAAACCACUAUAUUACACUCAACUUUUGUCAAAACAAACAAGCACCAUGGGAAGAGGUGAAAGUGAAGAGUGGGAUGAAAAGCACAACGAUGUGAGGCAAACCCAACCCCAGAGACACACGACCACAGACAGCAAAGGCUCGCAGAGCUCAGCGAGAAGCUGUCCCGAGUGCUGCUUGAAGACAAGGGCCUGCCUGAUGAGCCCGGAGUGUGGCAGGGCGCUUCAGAUCUCGAGAGUUGUCGCCAUGUGUGGAAUGUGUAUCCGCAUGUUUGUGUAGCUGAGCCUUGGACACCAGGACCAACUUUUCUGGGGUCGGUUUUUAUAAAUCACCCUGAAUGAAACUUAUGCUGCUAUUCAAUGAAGAUAUAAUACAGCAAUUUCUGAGAAUUCAUAUCGAUAAAACCAACUAUAAUUAUUAGUAAAUCAUAAGUGGCAACACUGAGGUAAAGAUAAUGUUACCUUAAUAACUUUUUUGUAAAAGGUUUAACUCUAAAGCCUCUCAUAAUUAAAUCAUGUUUGUUUAAUCAAACCAGAAAUUGUAUAUAUUCAUAUUUAUAUUUGUAAUGUUUUCAAUAAUGGUUAUAGUAAACUGUAACAUAUCUAAAUGGUGUCUUACCUGGGUUUGUGCUAAUGAAAACUGUUACAUAAAGCUUGAGUAUGUUCAGUGUACCAGUGUGAAUGAUAAAAAGUAUCAGUUACUUAAAUACUUUGUACAGUCGACACCACACAGAAUCUAACAGAUUA